UUUUAUUCUGAAUAAGGCUGAAUAUUGCCGUAAAUAAGUCAUGUAAUGUAAAGGAUUUGUCAAAUUAUUUUAGGUUGAUCAUCCUGGUGGAAGGAGCCUGGCUGUGUGUGGAAGAGACUUGGUGUCAGUGGUACCCCCAGUGCUAAGGACCCCAGAUCAAAAUCUGCAUGCAGUAAAUUUGCCUUUCAUUGGUGAUUUGUUCUGGAGUUCCCAGGGGACAAGAAAAGCAGGAGAGUGCAGCAGGCAGGACAUGACCACAGUGCUCGUAGCACUACCAGGAACCUUUAUGUUCCAGCUGACUUUCUCUAACAGAGCAACCGAUGUGCUUUUUCACCAGAACUAACUGAAGCACGAACUCAUUGGGACUGAAGGAAAACUGUCUCAGAGACAAAAGGUAUGCUGCUUCUCUGGUUUGCUGGCUAUAUGCCUGGUCUGAAAUCUGUGAAGUGUAAGUCUGCCUUGGGUUUUUCACUUUUUGCUCACCCUCUGUAGGCAUUACCAAGUUGUUUGUGCUUUCUGCUCUGAUUUUUUUUUUUUUUCCUUUGGGGAAAAAAUAACACAAUGGUUCUGCAUACUCCAGAUGUUGACAGUUCCUGACCUGAGUCCCAUGAAAAGAACACCCA
rnacentral:lncRNA from 1 species